rnacentral:rRNA from 1 species
CCUACGGGAGGCAGCAGUGGGGAAUAUUGCACAAUGGGGGAAACCCUGAUGCAGCGACGCCGCGUGAGUGAAGAAGUAUUUCGGUACGUAAAGCUCUAUCAGCAGGGAAGAAAAUGACGGUACCUGACUAAGAAGCCCCGGCUAACUACGUGCCAGCAGCCGCGGUAAUACGUAGGGGGCAAGCGUUAUCCGGAUUUACUGGGUGUAAAGGGAGCGUAGACGGCAGCGCAAGUCUGGAGUGAAAUCCCAUGGCUUAACCAUGGAACUGCGUUGGAAACUGUGCAGCUAGAGUGCAGGAGAGGUAAGCGGAAUUCCUAGUGUAGCGGUGAAAUGCGUAGAUAUUAGGAGGAACACCAGUGGCGAAGGCGGCUUACUGGACUGUAACUGACGUUGAGGCUCGAAAGCGUGGGGAGCAAACAGGAUUAGAUACCCCGGUAGUC